AGGAGUAUCUUCAAUUGAGGUCGAUUUACAGCUUUCCUUACAGGAAUUGAAACCAAGCUGGUAACCAGUGGAAAGUUUCCAUACGUGUAAUUGAUCUUCGUGGGACAAAUUUGGACGAAAACGUUAGCCAUUACUCUUGACUUGGUAUUCACCUGCGCUAAGAUGUUACAUCCAAAUUCUCAUUACCGACCAAGAUACGGGAUGCGUGUGAACUGACAAACAUAGCUCUCAUGGGUUAGUCCUUAAAAACGUGAUUUUCCCUUGUUUUACUAAUUUUUUCCAAGCUGUUUUUGUUAUCGUCACCAGUUCGCGUGUCAUAUUCUGCCUGUUUAUACUGCGGCGUCAGUGAUCAAAGACGCUUUGGAGCGUGUCCACAGAUCACUACAAUCUUGGACAAUUUAAAUCAAAAAUUAAGACCACCCCUUCCUCCAUUUCAAUGAUGGCAAAAGUGGCGCACUUUGGGUUUAGUGCCAGUUCAUCAUUGAUUCACGGGGAGGGGUGGUUUUAUUUCUUAAUUUAUUCUGUCCAAGAUUGUAGCUAACAGCCGAUGUUACUGGCGGUUACUCGCUUUUCUCCUCAGCGGGUAAAUCGGCGAUUGCCGGUUUGUUGGUGGAACCCGGCAGCUAUUGAGCAAGUCCCAUUUUCAAGCAACAAUGCCGUCAGACUCAGUAAGGACAUCCAAAAGAAGCAGCCAGCUUGCGCAAAGUCCGAAGACUGGAACAGCAUAUUGACGGAGCUAGACUUUGCACUGAAGUGAGUUCUCUGCCGGAAAGUGAUAACUCCGUGUACAAGAACGUCUUCUUUCAGAAUGUGAUUUCUCGGAAACAAGUUAAAAACUUGAAAUACAGCCCGUAACGAGAAUAAGGCAAACGAGGAAGGAUUACCUCUGCAGCACUGGACCUCUGGAAAUCAUUAUUACUUCUAUUGCUUCAAUUCAUUCCCAUAGACAUUGACGGUGUAAUGAAGGAAAACGUAUCUGACAAGUCUAGUUCAGUACACCACUACGCCAUGUCUAGCAAACCUCAUGUACCGAACUGAACUUCUGCAAUCUUGAUUGCUUUUGGUCACUGGUAACUAUCAUUCAGUUCAUUCAGUGGAAUCGGAACGUGAACACGAUUAUUCAAAAAUAUUGAUUUGCUGCUUGCAAAAGGACCAGGAUCGAGCUACAGCAAUACACUGAGGACAAACAGUGAGACAGGGAAAAGAGCCAGUGUUCUGAUGAUUAUAGGACAACUGACAACUCCUAUUUUAAUGGUCUAUAAACUCCGGAAGAUUUAUCAACUGCUAUGAAUGAACAGAGAAAAGUAAAACUCGUAAAUCCUUGACAGUGGGACAGACGACAAUCGACUUAAGUUUGGCCAAGAACUUAUGAGUUAUGGCAUUAUUAAUUUGCUUGAGAAAAAUCUUUACGUCUAACAAGAACAUCAUCACUUGCUUUCUUUCUGGUAUGGCUAUCAGAGCUGUUUGAAAUUUAAUCAGACUGAAUAUAUUAAAUGACAUUGAACGAGUUUU